UAGCAGCCCUUAAGAAAGAUACAGAACAUGGAGUAAAUUCAGAAUUUUGAAUCUCUACCGAUGGCUUGCUUAGAUUUCAGGAUAGGGUGUGUGUUCCAUAUGAUAGUAAGCUAAAAAAAGGACAUCAUGACCGAGGUCCAUAACUCAAAGUUUGCCAUGCAUCCCGGAAGCACUAAGAUGUAUCAAAAUAUGUGAUCCCAAUUUUUGGUGGAACAUGUUGAAAAGAGAUGUGGUCGACUUU
rnacentral:lncRNA from 1 species